rnacentral:rRNA from 1 species
UAGUCCACGCAGUAAACGAUGAAUACUAGCUGUUCGCGAUAUACAGCGAGUGGCACAGCGAAAGCGUUAAGUAUUCCACCUGGGGAGUACGUUCGCAAGAAUGAAACUCAAAGGAAUUGACGGGGGCCCGCACAAGCGGAGGAACAUGUGGUUUAAUUCGAUGAUACGCGAGGAACCUUACCCGGGCUUGAAAUGCAGAGGAAUAAUGUGGAAACACGUUAGUCAGCAAUGACCUCUGUGU